rnacentral:lncRNA from 1 species
UAACCACCGUAAGCAAUCGUACUCUUGAGAACCAGAACCACUUCUGCUCUUGAAGUGGGACCUGUCGUUUGAGAGCUGAUACGAGAGGACUGCUCCAGGGUUGUAGACACAAGAUCCGCCACCUCACCUCGAUAUCGCGGUUUUGCAGAGACAGAUCGAUCGGCCUGGAAUCUUCCCGCGGUCUUCUGGUGGACGCCCUGUGAAGUGUGGAGUGCACGAAUAGAGCCAUUUUACAAACCGUGGCCCCUCAGAGACAUUUCGAUGUGGUGGACAGGGCACCUGUCUUGUUCCGGGGGCCCGCACCGGGCCAUGAUGGAAGGAAACAACGGUAACAGGUCGGUCAAGGACCCCGGUGAGUAUGGCGAAGCCAGACCGUGUGUCCAGUCGAACAGCAGCCUUUCUGCGUCUCUCUAAACACGUAUUCCCUACUCCUUACGAUGCUGCCUCCGAUUUGAAUGACGAAUCUUCUCUGUUAGUGAGCCUGUAUGCGGUAGAAACACUGUUUUCCACAGGACAAAUGAUAUGCCUGUAUUAACACCGAUGUCUUCUCUUGCUACACCGAUUCAGAUCGGUCGCUGAGUACGGAAGUUUUAGCUCUCGGACCACAUCACAUUGGGCAACGUACCGUUCAUAUGGGUUUUCCGGAAAGGCCUUCUCAAUAUCGCGUGUCAUCAGAGAAUUACAUUGUCGCGUUCCCUUUCGCUCAAAUCCUGAGGUGUUGAGAUGCGAACGAUGAAGUUUACUUAGUACCGCUGUCAGAGACUGCCAACUCACACAAAAUGUACUCAACUGCCCUGGCCUUUCUGAGCAUUUUCAGGUAGCUAAAAAUGCGCCGAUACUUCUGGGAGGUAGCAAGCACGCAGAACGACGCCCAUUUCCCUCGGGGGCGGACGGAGUCAUUGUGACGACAGUUCGUCGGAGUUAUAUCUUUUCGUCAGCUGUGAAUCCGGUGGCAAGAAUCGAUCAACUCCUCAAAACGGCGGUGCCCAUCAGAUAAACUUGCUCCCAGAGCACUUUCACUGCUCAUGUGUUUGUCACCCUAAGUAGGAGAUCUUGACGAACACCGGAGCUCGCUGACAAGCAUACCGUGUGGGACGUCUUUUGGUUUCAGCGUGUCCAGGUACAUCAAAUCCUGUUCACCGACAAAGCGAAAUGGUCCUCCAGCAGCUGUUUGUUGCACAGUCAACCCGAGACUUCUUUAAAGUUUAAGGAUCACGAGCGUUGUCCCCGACUGUUCGAUAGUGGGCGAAUAAGCUCGAGAUGCGUCCGCUGCCUUUCACUUGUCUAUCAGUAGGUAUCUUGACGAGAGGUUGUCGGGAAGGCAGGACACAAUUUGGGACUUGACAAUGGAAACCAACUCGUCCUGCGAAUGCCGUUCCUUACAGGCACUUUCUUACAUGCGUAUCCUCGACUGAGGGGUCACUCGCCACCAGCGGCUUUUACCCUACAUGAGUUCGCGGCUGACCUGUGUCGUUCCAAGCGGUGAGCAUAGGGGAAGUGUUCUCUAUCCUUACCACGCGCUGGGGGAAGGGAAGAGAUGCAUCUCCGCCUAUAAUCUGGAAAAAGGCAGGCGUGAGCAAACAUUGCUUAGCACACGAAUGUUAAUAAGAGCUCAAUUCAUGGCUGGUUCCUAACUUGACCACUUUAACUUAAAGGCUUUUCCUGGAUGCA